CUAGCCGCCACUGCUUCUUCUGUCCUCCGGCACCCCAACUCCAUGUUCUUCCCCACCUCACGACUCCGGCCAUGUUGGCGAAUCCACCCCAUCACAGGACCUCAAUCCCACAGCCCCUCGCCUCAGAUCUCUACUUCCUCACGUGCAAGCUUCCUUCCCUCGCCUUAGAUCUUGACUUCCUCACCUGAAGGCUUGCUCCACUCGCC
rnacentral:lncRNA from 1 species